rnacentral:rRNA from 1 species
CGAGCAUCUUUGAUUCUUCCAAGCUACAAAGAGCCAACGGUGGAUGCCUUGGCGCCAAGAACCGAUGAAGGACGUGGGCGACUGCGAAAAGCCGCGGGUAGAUGUCUACCUAUCUGUGAUCCGCGGAUGUCCGAAUGGGGAAACCCGGCACUCGUCAUGGAGUGCCACUCCUGCCUGAACACAUAGGGCAGGGAGAGGGAACCAGGGGAAUUGAAACAUCUCAGUACCCUGAGGAAAGGAAAGAAAACUCGACACCCUGAGUAGCGGCGAGCGAAAUGGGUAGAGGCUAAACCGUGCCGGUGCAAUAGCCAGGUGGCGUUGCCGGUGCGGGGUCGUGGGAUAGCGAGCUGUCGCACCUGAGACAGCACGGAGUUACCAAAUUGCUGUGUAGUGGAACCGUCCUGGAAAGUUCGGCCGCAGCGGGUAAUAGCCCCGUACACGAAACACACGCAAUCUCCGCGCUCGAUCCCAAGUAACGCCGGAACCGUGCAAGCCGGCGUGAAUCUGCGGGGACCACCCCGUAAGCCUAAGUAUUCCUUGGCGACCGAUAGUGAACCAGUACCGUGAGGGAAAGGUGAAAAGAACCCCGGGAGGGGAGUGAAAUAGAACCUGAAACCGUUGGUUUACAAACAGUCAGAGUGUCGUCCGCAAGGGCCACGAUGGCGUGCCUUUUGAAGAAUGAGCCUACGAGUUACGGUGUGUGGCGAGGUUAAGCCGAGAGGUGAAGCCGGAGCGAAAGCGAGUCUGAACAGGGCGUUCAGUCGCAUGCUGUAGACCCGAAGCGAAGUGAUCUAUCCAUGGGCAGGUUGAAGCGGGGGUAAGACCCCGUGGAGGACCGAACCCACGUCAGUUGAAAAUGGCGGGGAUGACCUGUGGAUAGGGGUGAAAGGCCAAUCAAACUUCGCGAUAGCUGGUUCUCCUCGAAAUGCAUUUAGGUGCAGCGUCGCGCGUUCAGUACCGGAGGUAGAGCACUGGAUGGGCUAGGGGUCCUACAAGAUUACCGAACCCAGCCAAACUCCGAAUGCCGGUACUCCAGAGCGCGGCAGUGAGUCCACGGGGGAUGAGCUUCGUUGGACGAAAGGGAAACAGCCCAGAUCAUCAGCUAAGGCCCCUAAUUCUGUACUAAGUGGAAAACGAUGUGAAAUUGCCCAGACAGCCAGGAGGUUGGCUUAGAAGCAGCCACCCUUGAAAGAGUGCGUAACAGCUCACUGGUCGAGUGAUUUUGCGCGGACAAUUCAACGGGGCUCAAGUACAGAGCCGAAGCUAUGGGAUCGAUCUAACGGUCGAUCGGUAGAGGAGCGUUGAUGGAGCGUCGAAGCGGCGGGGUGACCCGGCGUGGAGUUCCAUCAAGUGAGAAUGUAGGUAUGAGUAGCGAGAGAGAGGUGAGAAACCUCUCCGCCGGAAGCCCAAGGGUUCCUGGGGAAGGCUAAUCCCCCCAGGGUGAGUCGGGAGCUAAGGCGAGGCCGCAAGGCGUAGUCGAUGCACAACUGGUUGAUAUUCCAGUACCACCGUGUUCGCGCCAGGUCCAAGAUCGACGACGUGGGGGCUGCCUUCGGGCGAACCCACCUAGUUGGUGGCGGAUAACUGAUGGAGGACGCAGGAGGGUAGGUGAUCCGUGGCGAUGGUUGUCCACGGGUAAGCGAGUAGGGCAGGUCGAUGAGAGUUGACCGCAUUGUCCGAGACGUGAUUCCGAGCCGUUUAGGCGAAGUCACUGAUCCCACACUGCCGAGAAAAGCCCAGCAGUGAGCUGACACGGUGCCCGUACCCCAAACCGACACAGGUGGGCGGGUAGAGAAUACCAAGGCGAUCGGGAGAACUAUGGUUAAGGAACUCGGCAAAUUACCUCCGUAACUUCGGAAGAAGGAGGACCCAAAUAGGGUGUAGGGCCUUGCGCUCGAAGCCCGAGUGGGUGGCACAAAUCAGGGGGUAGCGACUGUUUAUCAAAAACACAGCAGCGUGCGAAGCCGUAAGGCGCUGUAUACGCUGUGACGCCUGCCCAAUGCUGGAAGGUCACGGGAAACGGUUAGUCGAAAGACGAAGCUGUGAACCUAAGCCCCAGUGAAUGGCGGCCGUAACUAUAACGGUCCUAAGGUAGCGAAAUUCCUUGUCGGGUAAGUUCCGACCUGCACGAAUGGCGUAACGACUUCCCCACUGUCUCAACCAUAGACCCGGCGAAAUUGAAGUACGAGUAAAGAUGCUCGUUAGCUGCGGAAGGACGGAAAGACCCCGUGGACCUUUACUAUAACUUGAUGUUGAGAUUUGACCUGCACUGUGUAGGAUAGGUGGGAGACUGUGAAGCCGGCGCGCCAGCGUCGGUGGAGUCAUCGUUGAAAUACCACCCUGUGUAUGUCGGGUCUCUAACUUUGGUCCAUUAUCUGGAUCAGGAACAGCGUCAGGCGGGUAGUUUGACUGGGGCGGUCGCCUCCUAAAAUGUAACGGAGGCGCCCAAAGGUUCCCUCAGGCUGGUUGGCAAUCAGCCGUCGAGUGCAAUGACACAAGGGAGCUUGACUGCGAGACUGACAGGUCAAGCAGGUGCGAAAGCAGGGCAUAGUGACCCGGCCAUAGCGUGUGGAAGCGUGGUCGCUCAACGGAUAAAAGGUACCCCGGGGAUAACAGGCUAAUCUUUCCCAAGAGUCCAUAUCGACGGAAAGGUUUGGCACCUCGAUGUCGGCUCAUCGCAUCCUGGGGCUGAAGCAGGUCCCAAGGGUUGGGCUGUUCGCCCAUUAAAGCGGUACGCGAGCUGGGUUCAGAACGUCGUGAGACAGUUCGGUCCCUAUCCUCCGCAGCCGGAAGAGUCUUGAUGAAAGCUAUCCCUAGUACGAGAGGACCGGGAUGGACGGAGCUCUGGUGUGUCAGUUGUCCUGCCAAGGGCACGGCUGAUUAGCCACCUCCGGAAGGGAUAACCGCUGAAAGCAUCUAAGUGGGAAACCCGUUCAAAGAUGAGGACUCUCACAGGGUCAACCUGGUAAGGCCCGUGGCUAGACCACCACGUUGAUAGGCCGGAAGUGUAAGGACGGUGACGUUCGCAGCUGACCGGUACUAAUCGGCCGAGGGCUUGGUUUGAAUCGUGCUCGU